AAUUUGCAGAGGAUGCUUCGGGUGNGGUCCCCGUCUAAGUGCCCUGGAACGGGCCGUCAUAGAGGGUGAGAAUCCCGUCUGGGAUGGGCGGCCGCGCCCGUGUGAAGCUCCUUCGACGAGUCGAGUUGUUUGGGAAUGCAGCUCUAAGCGGGUGGUAAAUUUCAUCUAAAGCUAAAUACUGGCCGGAGACCGAUAGCGCACAAGUAGAGUGAUCGAAAGAUGAAAAGCACUUUGAAAAGAGAGUUAAACAGCACGUGAAAUUGUUGAAAGGGAAGCGUUGUCCACCAGACUCGCCCGGGGGGGUUCAGCCGGCACGUGUGCCGGUGUACUCCUCUCCGGGCGGGCCAGCAUCGGUUUGGGCGGCUGGNGAAAGGCCCCGGGAAUGUAACACCCUCCGGGGUGCCUUAUAGCCCGGGGUGCCAUACA
rnacentral:rRNA from 1 species